AUCGGUAUGAAUUUAAUUUUGGUUCUGAUUGAACGUUUUUCAGUAGUUUUAAGACAUGCAAAUCGUUGUUCCUAACAGUUUAUCUGUAUGUUUUAUACCCUUGCCCCAUCCUUCCUUGGUAAAGGAGGGAUUCAUAAAAGGGAAUCAUUCCUCCUUAUGAAUAAGGAGUCAGGUUUUAAAAAAUAAAGAUAAAAAAAUAAGAAUAAGGUGUAAAGGUGAGUAUUUUAAAUUAGAUACCUUAUAGACUCCUUAAUUGGGAGAUAAUUUUAUUUCAAAAAUCCUCCCUCCGUAUUCAUUCUACUUAUGAAUGGUUACGGAUAUGUUGAUUAGAGAUAAUUAUUAGGGUAAUAUCACAGUCAGUAGUCCACACCUGCUAGUCUGUUCUCAUUACUGUUUUUAUUCCCAAGCGGUAGGAGAGUUACCUUCGGUUCCCUCCUACGUUUUCUAGCCGGAAUGAAUCCAAGGUUAAUAAGGAGGAGUCCAUAUGAGUAGCUUCUUUUGCUGCGUAGCAGGAAUCGCUACAUAUGAAUUCCUUGUAAUUUCAUCCUAAUAAGGAAAGUAAAAUAUAAAUUAGCUAAUUAUAAAAAAAGGGAAAUUUUCUGCUAUAAGAUUCGAUUUAUUUUGUUUAAAGGUAGUUGGUGGGGUAAAUGCCUACCAAGCCUACGAUCAAUAGCCAUGUUUGAUAGAGCAGAUGGCCACAUUGGGAAUGGAAAGCCCCAAGUAGUGAAAACUACCAGCAGUCAAGAAUAUUAGUCAAUGCUCGCAAGAGUGAACUAGCUAACUGAAAUCACAUGAUCCAUGCUUUAUGUUGGUUAUUGUGAUAACGUAAGGGAAAAAAAAUGAUAUUACCUUACUAUUAGUGUUGUCCAAAGCUGGGUGCCAGAAGACUCGGUAAGGCCAGAGACGCGAACGUUAGUCGUCCUAAACAGGCGUAAAGGGUUUGUAGGCUGCUUUCAAAAUCAUAUCUUUCAAAUAGCUCUUAUAACGAAGAUCUGUUUAAAGAAGACAACAUACUUUAAAUAUCUUCCUUCUAAGGUAAAGAUAGGAUGAAUAAAAGCUAGAAUCAAAACGAGGAUAAGCCAAAUAAUACUUAGAGUAGGGAUGAUAUCCGUAGAUACUAAGUAGAAUACUAAAAGUGAAAACUAUUUAUCUAGAAAUGAUUGACGCUGAGAAACGAAGGUGAGAAUAGGAAAUAGGAUUAGAUACCCAGAUACCUCUCACUGUCAACGAUGAAUGGUGGUUUGUUAGUUUAUAGAUGAACUAGUAACGAUGCUAACGCGAUAACCAUUCCGCCUUGCGAGUACGGUUGCAAAACUGAAACCAAAAAAAUUAGUCGGUCUCGAAGCAAACGAAGUGAAGCAUGUUAUUUAAUACGAUAAUACGCGUAAAACCUUACCAGUUCUUGCAUAUCCAGUCCUUAAUCUUAAGUGGUUCUAAAUGUCAAUUUAGUCCUAUUUAAGGUUAAAGAUUGAGUAGUUUCUUGACCUCAAGAAACUCGUUUACAGGUGUUGCAUGGCUGUCGUAAGUCCGUGCCGUGAGAAGUGAGGUUAACUCCACUAACGGACGAAAUCCCUGUUGUUAAUUUAUACUUAACAAUUAAUGAAUUUGACAAUUUUUCAUUUGGGGCUAAGACAAGCCGUUAUGGCCCUCAUGAACUGGGCUACUAUUUUUAAUAAUAAGGUUUUAAGGAAUAGCUAAUCAUUAAAGAAAGUUAAAUAACCAAAUAUAUGGACGGAUUGCCGCCUGAAAUUCGGCGACAUGAAGAAGGAAUUUCGAGUAAUCGUUGAUCACUAGCGCAACGGUGAAGAAUGCAUUCGGGAUGAACUAACUGUCUGUCGCUGGGAAGGAGCUUGAAUUGGGGGAAACUGCCGCGAAGUUAUUAUUUUUUUAAGGCAAACCUAAUUUAAUAAUAUCAGCAAUUAUUUAUUAUUAAGCCCUUGACUGAAUUCGGGCAAGGGCAGAGGUAAAUUAAAUUUUUUAAAUUAAGGGUAGUUUUUCUCCGUAGGACUGAAUCCUUAUUAAUCCUACGGUCCGUAGGAGGACGGCAGCUAAGCUUUAAUUUUAGAAGUAAUUCUAAUUUAAAGUAUUAGCCCUCCUGUCCACUUACGGAGGAGUAGCACUCUUACGGAUAAGUCUUCGAAGUCUUCGAAGUCUUAGAAGAAUAAAGUGCCUCCAUCUCCGUAGGGUCCCGCUCUCCGUAUGGGCUUCCCCCCUGAGGGGGAGGACCCUCAGCCUACGGAGAGCUGGGGGACCGAGUAUUCGGCCAGGGAAUCAUUUAAAUAUAAAAAAACACCUUUCUUAAGAUAAUUAGUUUCAGUUAACCCUUUUAAGUAACAUCUCAAAAGUCAUAGCAAGGUAGCUGUACUGGAAAGUGCCGCUGGAAAAUAA
rnacentral:rRNA from 1 species